UCAAGACCCCUAGGAUCAAAAUCAAUCCUAACCAAAGUCAGAAUUCACACACGAUUCUGUUCACAACUCGAGCCAGCUCGAUCAGACCUUGAGUUGGCUUGACUGCCAUGCCACCUGCAUGCCAGCAAAAAUCAGCUCUCUGUUCCACAUCGGAGCUGGCUCUUUCAAGGUCCCGAGCCGGCUCGACCUGAUCCAAGUCAACUCCACCC
rnacentral:lncRNA from 1 species